UACGGAGGGUGCAAGCGUUAAUCGGAAUUACUGGGCGUAAAGCGCACGCAGGCGGUUUGAUAAGUCAGAUGUGAAAGCCCCGGGCUCAACCUGGGAAUGGCAUUUGAUACUGUCAGACUAGAGUAUGGUAGAGAGAAGUGGAAUUCCGCAUGUAGCGGUGAAAUGCGUAGAGAUGCGGAGGAACAUCAGUGGCGAAGGCGACUUCUUGGACCAAUACUGACGCUCAGGUGCGAAGGCGUGGGGAGCAAACAGG
rnacentral:rRNA from 1 species